AGCGAACGCUGGCGGCAGGCCUAACACAUGCAAGUCGAGCGGUAACACAGGGAGCUUGCUCCCGGGUGACGAGCGGCGGACGGGUGAGUAAUGUCUGGGAAACUGCCUGAUGGAGGGGGAUAACUACUGGAAACGGUAGCUAAUACCGCAUAACGUCGCAAGACCAAAGAGGGGGACCUUCGGGCCUCUUGCCAUCAGAUGUGCCCAGAUGGGAUUAGCUAGUAGGUGGGGUAACGGCUCACCUAGGCGACGAUCCCUAGCUGGUCUGAGAGGAGGACCCGCCACACUGGAACGGAGACCCGGUCCAGACUCCUACGGGAGGCAGCAGUGGGGAAUAUUGCACAAUGGGCGCAAGCCUGAUGCAGCCAUGCCGCGUGUAUGAAGAAGGCCUUCGGGUUGUAAAGUACUUUCAGCGGGGAGGAAGGCGAUAAGGUUAAUAACCUUGUCGAUUGACGUUACCCGCAGAAGAAGCACCGGCUAACUCCGUGCCAGCCGCCGCCGUAAUAC
rnacentral:rRNA from 1 species